UACGUAGGGCGCAAGCGUUAUCCGGAAUUAUUGGGCGUAAAGAGCUCGUAGGCGGUUUGUCGCGUCUGCCGUGAAAGUCCGGGGCUCAACUCCGGAUCUGCGGUGGGUACGGGCAGACUAGAGUGCAGUAGGGGAGACUGGAAUUCCUGGUGUAGCGGUGAAAUGCGCAGAGUAUCAGGAGGAACACCGAUGGCGAAGGCA
rnacentral:rRNA from 1 species